UGUGAUCAAAAUAGCCGGCAGCUAGCUCUCUGCUACUCACACAUGGUCGCCCACUAAAGCUAAACAGGGCUGCGCCUGGUCAGUACCUGGAUGGGAGACCACAUGGGAAAGCUAGGUUGGGUGGCAC
rnacentral:rRNA from 1 species